UACAGAGGGGGCAAGCGUUAUUCGGAAUUAUUGGGCGUAAAGAGCGUGUAGGCGGCCAGGUAGGUCUGGUGUGAAAACUCGAGGCUUAACCUCGAGAUGUCAUCGGAAACCAUUUGGCUAGAGUCCGGAAGAGGAGAGUGGAAUUCCUGGUGUAGCGGUGAAAUGCGCAGAUAUCAGGAAGAACACCAAUGGCGAAAGCAGCUCUCUGGGACGGUACUGACGCUGAGACGCGGAAGCGUGGGGAGCGAACAGG
rnacentral:rRNA from 1 species